rnacentral:rRNA from 1 species
UACAGAGGUGGCAAGCGUUAUUCGGAUUUACUGGGCGUAAAGGGCGCGUAGGCGGUCAGCACAAGUCAGUUGUGAAAUCUCCGGGCUUAACUCGGAAAGGUCAACUGAUACUGUGCGACUAGAGUGCGGAAGGGGGCAACUGGAAUUCUCGGUGUAGCGGUGAAAUGCGUAGAUAUCGAGAGGAACACCUGCGGCGAAGGCGGGUUGCUGGGCCGACACUGACGCUGAUGCGCGAAAGCCAGGGGAGCGAACGGGG